AAAAAAGUUGCCUUUAAGAUACAAUUUUGAAAAAACUUUAAAUACCACUCUUGUGGUUUUGUAUUUUUUCACUUUAGUAUCCUGUUAUUUAAAAUGUAUCAAUUUAGAAUCAUAUGGUUUCGCACUUUCUUACUUUAGUAUCCUGUGGUUUAAAGUGCAUCAAUUUAGUACCAUGUAGUUCUAUUUUUUUUUCUUUUCGUCGGCUUCUCUGUUAAUGUUUUAUUAAAUUAUGUACAAAAAAAACUUUAGAUAUCCUGCUUAAGUUUAUUGAAUAUUUACUUUAGUUCUUUUUAGUUUUAACUUUGUCACUGAUUUUUUUUCCUCCGUUAAUAUUUUGUUAAAUUAUAUACAAAAAACUUCAGAUACCCUACCUAGAUUUAUCGAAUAUUCACUGUAGUAUCCUUUAAUUUUAACUGUAUCACUGAUUUAACGAAAAAAAUUACUGAAAUAGAUAAUAAAAAGGAAAAAAACGAAAAAAAUUACUGAAAUAGAUAAUAAAAAGGAAAAAUUAAAACCAUAUGGUACUAACUUGAUACACUUUAAACCAUAGGAUACUAAAGUGAGAAAAUAUAAAAUUAUUGGGACUAACUUGAUACACUUUAAAUUAUAAAAUAUUAAAGUAAGUAAGUGUGAAACCACGAGGGGUAUUUGGAUUUUACCCUAAAAUUUUUAAGUAAUAAUAUUUAC
rnacentral:lncRNA from 1 species